UGCGUAGGCGGACUAAUAAGUCAGUGGUGAAAUCUCUCGGCUCAACCGGGAAACUGCCAUUGAUACUGUUAGUCUUGAGUUCGGUUGAGGUAGGCGGAAUGUGUAAUGUAGCGGUGAAAUGCUUAGAUAUUACACAGAACGCCAAUUGCGUAGGCAGCUUACUAGACCGACACUGACGCUGAGGCACGAAAGCGUGGGUAGCGAACAGGAUUAGAUACCCUGGUAGUCC
rnacentral:rRNA from 1 species